UACGGAGGAUCCAAGCGUUAUCCGGAUUUAUUGGGUUUAAAGGGUGCGUAGGUGGGAGAGUAAGUCAGAGGUGAAAGCUAGCAGCUUAACUGUUAAAUUGCCUUUGAUACUGCUUUUCUUGAGUAUAGUUGGCGUUGGCGGAAUGUGACAUGUAGCGGUGAAAUGCGUAGAUAUGUCACAGAACACCGAUCGCGAAGGCAGCUAACGAAGCUAUCACUGACACUGAUGCACGAAAGCGUGGGGAGAAAACAGG
rnacentral:rRNA from 1 species